rnacentral:tRNA from 1 species
AUUUCCAUAGCGUAGUGGUUAUCACGUCUGCCUAACACGCAGAAGUUCCCAGUUUCGAAAACGGGUGGAAACA